UGGAAAGAACCAGGAGGGAUCUAGUGGCCAGGAAGGAUCUGCUAGACUGGAUCUUGGGGGAUAGGGAUUAGGUUCACCUUCCUCAUUUCUGGCCCCAUCACAUUCCAGAACACUUUGUCACUGUUCCCUAGCUCUGUGAUGCAGGCCUGGAAGUCUAGGCUGGAGUUCUACUCUCUGUUCUCAGCUGCCUGAGUUAGUAGUAGUACACUUUAGAUGAGGGAGAACUUUGACUGGUUGCUUCUGCAUUUCAGUGAGUCCUUAGGCAUUGGUUCCACCUUUUAUUUUUUGUACAGAAUUGGCAUCUUUCUGUCUUGUUACUGAAUUCAGUGGUGUACAUAUUUAUGUCUGAAAAAAACAUUUGAAAAAAACAGAGACAUCAGUCAGUGAUUACAAUGCUCCCUACAUCCCUGAGAAAAUUAAAGUGCUGAGGACCACUUCUUGACACCUUCAAGUAGAUUUGUGAAUUGUACCCAGAGAAGCCACAUUCAUUUUCAACCUGCUCAGCCUGGGAGGUAGAUUCUCCUCCGUGUCAAACCCCUCAUCAGAUUCCCUUUCCUCAAAGGCCUGGUUGAAGAUAGGAGCACUCUUCCUAGACGUCAGGUUGUGAUCACAAACGGCUUCCAGCAUAAAACCACUUGUGUGGAGAACAAGGGUUUCUUGUCCUCCUCAUCGUCUUCCUCUUCUUCCGCCCUGAACAGACGCUUCUGCCCACUGGCCGUCGGUUUCAAGCUUGUGAGUCUCACUGUGGAGAGUGCUGGUCUAGUCCAGCCUACUUGGGAAGGUCUGAAAUGCUGAAGAUAGGACACAACCAUAGCCUUUUUGGGGGCUUGUUUUGUAAUCAUAUAUGAUCCAAGAAACCUCUGCUACAAACCAAUGGAAAGGAGACUGUAUAAUUAUGGAUGGUGUGACCUUCUUCAAACAGCCAUAUCCAGGAGCUCACCAAGGAUUUCCUUAGAUAAGGAAUCCCAAAGCAAUAUGAGACAUCAGAUCAGUCUUCCUCUUGGUCACCUCAACAAAAUCCAGAGCCAGUGUCAGCAGGUUUAGGUGGAACCGGUUUUGUGAGUAGUAUGCAGUAAUUUAAGUUUUCAUUUUUUGUUUUACCUGUAUGGAUAACGGAGCCAGAAACAUUUAUUGAAGUACUACUUUUCUCCUGCUAUUCUACAUUGCCACCUUUGUCAUAACUCAAGAAUCUACAGGUAACUGUCUGUUUCUGGAUUCUCUUACCAUUGGUCUAUUUGACUACCCAUGUGCAAUACCACAUUGUCUUUUAUUACUUUAUAGGAAGUUUUU